rnacentral:tRNA from 1 species
GGAGGAAUAGCGAAGUGGCUAAACGCGACGGACUGUAAAUCCGUUCCUUAGGGU